rnacentral:rRNA from 1 species
UGGAUGGUACUUUAUUCCUGGGUUACCCACGGUAUUUCCUAGAGCUAAUACAUGCAUACAGACCCGACUUUUGAGGGGGGUUUUUAUUAUAACAACACUGAACCGCUUCGCUGUCCGCUUGGUGACUCAGAAUAACUUUGGGCUGAUCCCAUGGCCUUGCGCCCGAUACUUUUUUCUCGUUUGUGUCCCCUAUCCUUUGUACAGUGUGGCAUUGACCCCCACAGUGGUUUUGACGGGAAACGGGGAAUCGGGGUUCUAUUCCGGAGAGGGAGCCUUAAAAACGGCUACCACAUCUAAGGAAGGCAGCAGGCACGCAUUACACCCAAUGACCAAAGGUCGAGGGUGACACGAAAAAUAAAUAUAGCGGACUCAUCCGAGGCCCGCUAAUUGGAAUGAAUACACUUUAAAACCGUCCCCAAGGAUCUAUUGGAGGGCAAAAAUGGU